CCCCAGACUCCUACGGGAGGCAGCAGUGGGGAAUAUUGCACAAUGGGGGAAACCCUGAUGCAGCGACGCCGCGUGAGUGAAGAAGUAUUUCGGUAUGUAAAGCUCUAUCAGCAGGGAAGAAAAUGACGGUACCUGACUAAGAAGCCCCGGCUAACUACGUGCCAGCAGCCGCGGUAAUACGUAGGGGGCAAGCGUUAUCCGGAAUUACUGGGUGUAAAGGGAGCGUAGACGGCUGUGCAAGUCAGAAGUGAAAGCCCGGGGCUCAACCCCGGGACUGCUUUUGAAACUGCGUGGCUGGAGUGCAGGAGAGGUAAGCGGAAUUCCUGGUGUAGCGGUGAAAUGCGUAGAUAUCAGGAGGAACACCGGCGGCGAAGGCGGCCUGCUGGACCGAAACUGACGUUGAGGCUCGAAAGCGUGGUGAGCACACAGGAUUAGAUACCCGAGUA
rnacentral:rRNA from 1 species